rnacentral:rRNA from 1 species
GACGAACGCUGGCGGCGUGCUUAACACAUGCAAGUCGAACGGAAAGGCCCUGCUUUUGUGGGGUGCUCGAGUGGCGAACGGGUGAGUAACACGUGAGUAACCUGCCCUUGACUUUGGGAUAACUUCAGGAAACUGGGGCUAAUACCGGAUAGGAGCUCCUGCUGCAUGGUGGGGGUUGGAAAGUUUCGGCGGUUGGGGAUGGACUCGCGGCUUAUCAGCUUGUUGGUGGGGUAGUGGCUUACCAAGGCUUUGACGGGUAGCCGGCCUGAGAGGGUUACCGGCCACAUUGGGACUGAGAUACGGCCCAGACGACUACGGGAGGCAGCAGUGGGGAAUAUUGCACAAUGGGCGGAAGCCUGAUGCAGCAACGCCGCGUGCGGGAUGACGGCCUUCGGGUUGUAAACCGCUUUCGCCUGUGACGAAGCGUGAGUGACGGUAAUGGGUAAAGAAGCACCGGCUAACUACGUG